GUGAGGAAUUUUGCGCAAUGGGGGCAACCCUGACGCAGCGACGCCGCGUGGAGGACGAAGUCUUUCGGGAUGUAAACUCCUGUCAGUGGGGACGAUAAUGACGGUACCCACAGAGGAAGCACCGGCUAACUCCGUGCCAGCAGUCGCGGUAAGACGGAGGGUGCAAGCGUUGUUCGGAAUUACUGGGCGUAAAGCGUAUGUAGGCGGCAAGUUAAGUUCAAUGUUAAAGCCCACGGCUCAACCGAGGAGAUGCAUUGAAUACUGGCUAGCUAGAGGGUGUUAGAGGAAGACGGAAUUCCCAGUGUAGCGGUGAAAUGCGUAGAUAUUGGGAGGAACAUCGGUAGCGAAAGCGGUCUUCUGGGACAUACCUGACGCUGAGGUACGAAAGCGUGGGGAGCAAACGGGAUUAGAAACCCGGGUAGUCC
rnacentral:rRNA from 1 species